AUGGUGACUGAUAAGAAAAUAAUCAGUCUUACUGUCAAGGUUGGAUUGGUGCUGUUUGCAGUAUGCAUUCUUGCGCCGAUUUCGCUCAUGGUGCUAUUCAGGCAUGCAGUUCCUCUGCAGACAUUGAGGUUGCUGUUUUCAGCUGGUCCAACAUCUUCAGUGAUGUGGGAAGAAGAAAAGAUGGACUCUGCAAACAAAGGGGAGCUGCUGUGUGAGUGUGACAUGUCGAGCCUAAGAUCAGAUGUAUGCGAGCUGAAGGGCGAUGUCCGGGUAAUCCUCUCCAACGUCACCAUCAUUGCCCUCCUCCAUCCCUCUGUCUCUGUGAGGCGCCGGUCAUGGAGGAUGAAGCCGCACGCGAGGAAGAAUGAUGGCCACACGCUCGCCAAUGUCACAGAGGUGUUGGUGUCGGUCACCCCUUCAUCACCUUACGCUCCGGGAUGCACGGCCGAGAGUGCCGCCCCUGCGGUGGUCUUCUCAGUCGGCGGCUACGCAGGCAACAUGUUCCAUGACUUCACCGACGUACUCAUCCCGCUCUUCAUCACCGCCAGCCGGUUCCGCAGCGACGCGCACCUCCUUGUCAGCGACGCCCCACCGUGGUGGCUUGACAAGUACCGACCGCUGCUCCGGGGGCUCUCCCGCCACGCUGUCAUUGACAUGGACAGGCAAAGCGCAGAAGUGCUCUGCUACCCUCAUGUGGUCGUCGGCCUCAGCUUCCACAAGGAGAUGAGUAUCGACACCGCGAAGACUCUCGGUGGGCACUACUCCAUGGCCGGCUUUGCCCACCUUGCCCGGAGAUCCUAUGGCCUCGAGAGGGAUACUGCCAUCCGGCUGCUACAUGGCAGUGACAAUAUCGAGAGCCCGCGACGCCCCAGGCUGCUCAUCAUUUCCCGGAAGACAACCAGGGCGUUCACCAACAUGGGGGCUGUUGCACAGGCGGCAGCCAUGCUUGGCUACGAGGUGAUCGUCGGCGAGGCGGAGCAGCACUCGGACCUGCCCGCCUUUGCACGGCUGGUGAACUCGUGCGACGUGCUGGUGGGCGUUCAUGGUGCUGGGCUCACCAACCUGGUGUUCCUCCCGCCAGGGGCUGUGGUGGUACAGGUGGUGCCGCUGGGUGGGCUGGAGGCCAUGGCGAGGGACGACUUCGGGGAGCCGGCUGGCGACAUGGGGCUCAGUUACGUGCAGUACCGCAUCGCCGUCGGGGAGAGCACACUGGCGGAGCUGUACCCACGUGACCACCGUGUGCUGAGGGACCUGGCGCUCCGGUCGGAGUACCUGGUCGGCCAGAACGUCACGCUCGAUGUCGCUCGGUUCAGUGGCGCCUUGUCCCGUGCUCUGGAGCUUCUUCACCAUUAG
rnacentral:rRNA from 1 species